rnacentral:rRNA from 1 species
CCAACAGGGAUUACCUUAGUAACGGCGAGUGAAGCGGUAAGAGCUCAAAUUUGAAAUCUAGCACUUUCAGUGUUCGAGUUGUAAUUUGAAGAAGGUAACUUUGGAGUUGGCCCUUGUCUAUGUUCCUUGGAACAGGACGUCACAGAGGGUGAGAAUCCCGUGCGAUGGGGUGUCCAACUCUAUGUAAAGUGCUUUCGAAGAGUCGAGUUGUUUGGGAAUGCAGCUCUAAGUGGGUGGUAAAUUCCAUCUAAAGCUAAAUAUUGGCGAGAGACCGAUAGCGAACAAGUACAGUGAUGGAAAGAUGAAAAGAACUUUGAAAAGAGAGUGAAAAAGUACGUGAAAUUGUUGAAAGGGAAGGGCUUUAGAUCAGACUUGGUGUUUAGUACUCUUCACUCCUUGUGGGUGGGGCUCUUGCUUUAUACUGGGCCAGCAUCGGUUUGGAUGGUAGGAUAAUAGCAUUGGAACGUGGCUUCGCUUCGGUGGAGUGUUAUAGCCUUUGUUGAUACUACCUAUCUAGACCGAGGACUGCGUCUUUUGACUAGGAUGCUGGCGUAAUGAUCCAAAGCCGCCCGU